rnacentral:rRNA from 1 species
AUGCACGCUGGCGGCGUGCCUAAUCCAUGCAAGUCGAGCGAACGGACGAGAAGCUUGCUUCUCUGAUGUUAGCGGCGGACGGGUGAGUAACACGUGGAUAACCUACCUAUAAGACUGGGAUAACUUCGGGAAACCGGAGCUAAUACCGGAUGAUAUUUUGAACCGCAUGGUUCAAAAGUGAAAGACGGUCUUGCUGUCACUUAUAGAUGGAUCCGCGCUGCAUUAGCUAGUUGGUAAGGUAACGGCUUACCAAGGCAACGAUGCAUAGCCGACCUGAGAGGGUGAUCGGCCACACUGGAACUGAGACACGGUCCAGACUCCUACGGGAGGCAGCAGUAGGGAAUCUUCCGCAAUGGGCGAAAGCCUGACGGAGCAACGCCGCGUGAGUGAUGAAGGUCUUCGGAUCGUAAAACUCUGUUAUUAGGGAAGAACAUAUGUGUAAGUAACUGUGCACAUCUUGACGGUACCUAAUCAGAAAGCCACGGCUAACUACGUG